rnacentral:rRNA from 1 species
AUAAUGGGUCAGCGACUUAUAUUCUGUAGCAAGGUUAACCGAAUAGGGGAGCCGAAGGGAAACCGAGUCUUAACUGGGCGUUAAGUUGCAGGGUAUAGACCCGAAACCCGGUGAUCUAGCCAUGGGCAGGUUGAAGGUUGGGUAACACUAACUGGAGGACCGAACCGACUAAUGUUGAAAAAUUAGCGGAUGACUUGUGGCUGGGGGUGAAAGGCCAAUCAAACCGGGAGAUAGCUGGUUCUCCCCGAAAGCUAUUUAGGUAGCGCCUCGUGAAUUCAUCUCCGGGGGUAGAGCACUGUUUCGGCAAGGGGGUCAUCCCGACUUACCAACCCGAUGCAAACUGCGAAUACCGGAGAAUGUUAUCACGGGAGACACACGGCGGGUGCUAACGUCCGUCGUGAAGAGGGAAACAACCCAGACCGCCAGCUAAGGUCCCAAAGUCAUGGUUAAGUGGGAAACGAUGUGGGAAGGCCCAGACAGCCAGGAUGUUGGCUUAGAAGCAGCCAUCAUUUAAAGAAAGCGUAAUAGCUCACUGGUCGAGUCGGCCUGCGCGGAAGAUGUAACGGGGCUAAACCAUGCACCGAAGCUGCGGCAGCGACGCUUAUGCGUUGUUGGGUAGGGGAGCGUUCUGUAAGCCUGCGAAGGUGUGCUGUGAGGCAUGCUGGAGGUAUCAGAAGUGCG